UACGUAGGCAGCGAGCGUUGUUCGGAGUUACUGGGCGUAAAGCGUGCGUAGGCGGUGUCUUAAGUUUGUUGUGAAAUCUCCCGGCUUAACCGGGAGGGUGCGGCGAAUACUGAGAUGCUGGAGUGCCGGAAAGGUAAGCGGAAUUCCUGGUGUAGCGGUGAAAUGCGUAGAUAUCAGGAGGAACACCUGCGGUGUAGACGGCUUACUGGACGGUAACUGACGCUGAGGCACGAAAGCCAGGGGAGCAAACGGG
rnacentral:rRNA from 1 species